rnacentral:rRNA from 1 species
GUUUGAUCAUGGCUCAGGAUGAACGCUAGCUACAGGCUUAACACAUGCAAGUCGAGGGGCAGCAUGAACUUAGCUUGCUAAGUUUGAUGGCGACCGGCGCACGGGUGAGUAAUACGUAUCCAACCUGCCGAUGACUCGGGGAUAGCCUUUCGAAAGAAAGAUUAAUACCCGAUGGCAUAGUUCUUCCGCAUGGUGGAACUAUUAAAGAAUUUCGGUCAUCGAUGGGGAUGCGUUCCAUUAGGUUGUUGGCGGGGUAACGGCCCACCAAGCCUUCGAUGGAUAGGGGUUCUGAGAGGAAGGUCCCCCACAUUGGAACUGAGACACGGUCCAAACUCCUACGGGAGGCAGCAGUGAGGAAUAUUGGUCAAUGGACGAGAGUCUGAACCAGCCAAGUAGCGUGAAGGAUGACUGCCCUAUGGGUUGUAAACUUCUUUUAUACGGGAAUAAAGUGAGGCACGUGUGCCUUUUUGUAUGUACCGUAUGAAUAAGGAUCGGCUAACUCCGUGCCAGCGGCCGCGGUAAUACGGAGGAUCCGAGCGUUAUCCGGAUUUAUUGGGUUUAAAGGGAGCGUAGGCGGACGCUUAAGUCAGUUGUGAAAGUUUGCGGCUCAACCGUAAAAUUGCAGUUGAUACUGGGUGUCUGAGUACAG